rnacentral:rRNA from 1 species
AACGAACGCUGGCGGCAUGCCUAACACAUGCAAGUCGAACGAGACCUUCGGGUCUAGUGGCGCACGGGUGCGUAACGCGUGGGAACCUGCCCUUAGGUUCGGAAUAACUCCCCGAAAGGGGUGCUAAUACCGGAUAAUGUCUUCGGACCAAAGAUUUAUCGCCCUUGGAUGGGCCCGCGUUGGAUUAGCUAGUUGGUAGGGUAAAAGCCUACGAAGGCGACGAUCCAUAGCUGGUCUGAGAGGCUGAUCAGCCACACUGGGACUGGGACACGGCCCAGACUCCUACGGGAGGCAGCAGUGGGGAAUAUUGGACAAUGGGCGAAAGCCUGAUCCAGUAAUGCCGCGUGAGUGAUGAAGGCCUUAGGGUUGUAAAGCUCUUUUACCCGGGAUGAUAUUGACAGUACCGGGAGAAUAAGCUCCGGCUAACUCCGUG